rnacentral:piRNA from 1 species
UAAAGACAAUAGGUGGAAAGUGUCUAGCA